ensembl:snRNA Gm22607 predicted gene, 22607
GUGCUUGCUUCAGCAGUGCAUAUAACUAAAAUGGGACAACGGAGAGGAUUUGCACAGCCCCUGUGCAAAGACGACACAAAAAUCUGUGCAGCAUUUUGGUUUCUU